rnacentral:lncRNA from 13 species
CUAAGUCAUUAUCCAAGAUAUUCAGAAAUACCCUUUUUUAAGUCUUUAACAUGAAUAAAUACUAAAUAAAGCUACCAUUUAUUUAAUGACUUAGAGCUAUACAAUGUGCACUUUACACAAGAGCUUAAAGGAUAAGUCUUAUUAUCUCCAUUUUACAGAUGAGGAAACCGAGGCUCAGAAAGAUGAAGUAAAUCACCCAAGAUCAUUCGACGGAGUUUCGCUCUUGUUACUCAGGCUGGAGUGCAAUGGCGCGAUCUCGGCUCACCGCAACCUCCGCCUCCUGGGUUCAGGCAAUUCUCCUGCCUCAGCCUCCUGAGUAGCUGGGAUUACAGGCACGUGCCACCAUGCCCAGCUAAUUUUUUGUAUUUUUAGUAGAGACGGGGUUUCACCAUGUUGACCAGGAUGGUCUGUUUGUUCUCUUAAUCCAGGAAUGUGGGCUAGUCUUUAAAAAUUCCUGUUUACCUGUGUUCUGCAUUUACUCUAAGCCAGCUCAGUGAUUAUGGAGGAAAGACAGACUGAACUGUCAGGUAAUAUUUUGUCUCCUGGGUAUAGAGGCUCCACAUCCUUCCUGGGGGGAGAGAAGUAAAUGCCUUGGGCAAUACUCUGCCCCUCUGGGCCCAGAGUGGGUCAGUUCAGCUGCUGCCUGCCUUAGCAUACAUGGGUAGGAGAGAGAAGAGCCCGGGACUGCUCUGCCAGUUACGCAUUCUGAUGUGUACCUGGGGACCCUUCCUUGUUCUUAUAACCACGGGCUCUGAGCCUGGGUUUCCCCAGAAUUGUUUCUACCUAGGGAUAAGUACAGGUGUACCUCUUCUUAGUAUGUUUUCUUCAUUGUGCUUUGCAAACACUGCAUUUUUUAUACAUUGAAAGUUUGUGGCAACUCCGCAUCAAGCAAAUAUAUUGGCACCAUUGUUCCAAGAGUAUGUACUGGCUUCGAGUCUGCGUUGCUUGUGGCAAUUCUUGCAACAUUUCGGACGUUUUCAUGAUCACAUCUGGUGUGUGGAUCUGUUGUCAGCGGCCUCUGAUGUUACUGCUCUAGCUGUUUCGGAAUGCCACAAGCCACGCUUGCAUA